rnacentral:rRNA from 1 species
UGAGGAAUAUUGGUCAAUGGGCGUAAGCCUGAACCAAGCCAAGUCGCGUGAGGGAAGACGGCCCUAUGGGUUGUAAACCUCUUUUGUCGGGGAGCAAAGCCGCCCACGUGUGGGCGGAAGGAGAGUACCCGAAGAAAAAGCAUCGGCUAACUCCGUGCCAGCAGCCGCGGUAAUACGGAGGAUGCGAGCGUUAUCCGGAUUUAUUGGGUUUAAAGGGUGCGUAGGCGGCAUGGUAAGUCAGCGGUCAAAUCGAGGGGCUCAACCCCUUUCCGCCGUUGAAACUGCCGUGCUUGAGUGGGCGAGAAGUAUGCGGAAUGCGUGGUGUAGCGGUGAAAUGCAUAGAUAUCACGCAGAACUCCGAUUGCGAAGGCAGCAUACCGGCGCCCGACUGACGCUGAGGCACGAAAGCGUGGGGAUCGAACAGGAUUAGAUACC